rnacentral:lncRNA from 1 species
CGAGAGCACAGAGCACAGCCCUGUGCGCUUCAGGAGCUGCUGACCUGCCGGGACUGAGGUCUCAGUGAGUGUGAAUGUUCCUCUGAUGCCUGGACAUUGGCACAGGGAAGGUGGAGAGGAAGGUGGCAGGCAGGAACAGCACAGGUGCUCAAUGCUGGUGGCAGAAACGCCCCCAGGACGCUGGCCUGGAAGGAGUAGGCCGCCCCAGGUGUCAAGAGGAUGACACACGGACAGAUGGACAGACAGAUGGACAGCUCCUGGACUCAGGCAACAGUGACAUCCUGUGAGGCACUCGUCUCCCAGUGACAGGACCUGUUUGCACCUUCGCUGCUUGGGCUGGACCCUCAGCUGGCCUUGCUGUCUCUGCACUUCCUCGCCUGGAGACCCCACCUGUUCCCUCUGUGCCGACCCAGACCACACGUGCGUCUCCAGCCCAGACCCUGCGCUGAGCCCCGCAGGCACUUGCGACCCGCCGUUGGUGCCCUCCAGGCGUCCCCAACUAACGGAAAGGC